GAUGAACGCUGGCGGCGUGCCUAAUACAUGCAAGUCGAGCGAACAGACGAGGAGCUUGCUCCUCUGACGUUAGCGGCGGACGGGUGAGUAACACGUGGAUAACCUACCUAUAAGACUGGGAUAACUUCGGGAAACCGGAGCUAAUACAGGAUAAUAUAUUGAACCGCAUGGUUCAAUAGUGAAAGACGGUUUUGCUGUCACUUAUAGAUGGAUCCGCGCCGCAUUAGCUAGUUGGUAAGGUAACGGCUUACCAAGGCAACGAUGCGUAGCCGACCUGAGAGGGUGAUCGGCCACACUGGAACUGAGACACGGUCCAGACUCCUACGGGAGGCAGCAGUAGGGAAUCUUCCGCAAUGGGCGAAAGCUUGACGGAGCAACGCCGCGUGAGUGAUGAAGGUCUUCGGAUCGUAAAACUCUGUUAGUAGGGAAGAACAAAUGUGUAAGUAACUAUGCACGUCUUGACGGUACCUAAUCAGAAAGCCACGGCUAACUACGUG
rnacentral:rRNA from 1 species